rnacentral:rRNA from 1 species
UACGUAGGGUGCGAGCGUUGUCCGGAAUUAUUGGGCGUAAAGAGCUUGUAGGCGGUUUGUCGCGUCUGCUGUGAAAUUUCGGGGCUCAACCCCGAACUUGCAGUGGGUACGGGCAGACUAGAGUGUGGUAGGGGAGACUGGAAUUCCUGGUGUAGCGGUGAAAUGCGCAGAUAUCAGGGGGAACACCGAUGGCGAGGGCAGGUCUCUGGGCCACUACUGACGCUGAGAAGCGAAAGCAUGGGGAGCGAACAGG